rnacentral:lncRNA from 1 species
GAUUCUUGAGGCACCGAGCUCGGGCCUCAGGCCUCCGAGCGGGGCCGUGCUAGACUUGCAUAGGCCGCUAUCUGGGGGUCUCGCCGAUCUUUCGUGCUCGGCUUUUGGACCAUAGGUCUAUAGAAGGGUUAGUGAUGUCCCCCGAAGAGGAGCCGAUAAUCAAAUCGACGCCAGGGCUUUCAUAGUUAUUGCCCUCGGACCCAGCCGAGGUUUCGGCGUGCGGAGUCGAAACUUGUAGAUGAUACCUCGGUUUUCUUGAGCUCGAUCAGUACGCCCGCGGUCGAGGUUAUCUUCAUAGGUCGAUAUUGGAGUCUGUGUAUGGGGGCCGAAUUGGGCCCUUGUUUACAAAGACUUACAUAAGUUGUCGUGGAGGUUCAGUAGACGGAGCAUGCAUAAGGUCAGUGAGAGAUUAGUCUUAAACCGACUUGUAGGAGCAAUCCGACCUUGGCCAAAAUAAGGUCUCGACUUUAAUCGAGAUUUUGCUGGCAACACGCGGAUAAAUAUAACAAGGCGAGCAUCGAGUGGGAUGUACCUUUUGUACUUCCAAAGUUGCGCUCCUCGUAGCGGAGUAGGUUGCCUUAUUUCCUCGCCAACUUUUCGGAAUCAUUCUUUGACUUUCGGAGAACUCGGGCUUCUCAUGGGCCCGAUGGCGCCCGCCGAGGUUGAAGGGGUUUGGGAAUGCUCCAUUAAUCUGCGACUCUUCCCGAGGUCGAGGGANNNNNNNNNNNNNNNNNNNNNNNNNNNNNNNNNNNNNNNNNNAGUCGAGGAAUCGUGCGCCAGGUCGAUGGGUCUGGGAACACUCUAUCGACCUGCGACGCUUUCCGAGGUCGAGGGAGUUUGGGACUCUACAGUCAAACCUCAGGGAAUCCCGACCUUAGUCGAGGAAUCUUGCGUCAAGUCGAUGCUUUAUCGUCCUGCGACACUUUCCGAGGUCGAGGGAGUUUGGGACUCUACGGU